UGUGCCCCGACUGGGAAUCAAACCGGUGACCUUCUGGUGCAUGGGCUGACACUCAACCAACUGAGAGCCACACUGCCGGGCAAACCAGAAAAGAUUUAAUGGUGGCAAGGAUACCCCCGAGGUUCUUGGACUGACCAGCUGGAAGAAUGGAACUGCUAAUGACUAUAAUAGCAAGAGGAAUUCCUCACCGUCCUUCUGAGCCGCACAUGCCUGUUAGCCAGCCAAGGAGAGAUGCUGAAAAGGCAUAAUUUGCAAACAACUACUCUAUUUACUCCCAACUCAGUCAUCUUGGAGGGAAAGUAGCUAUUAAUAGUAAAGGAAUGGGCAUGGCUCUAUCCCAACCAUCUUUACAACACUGAAACUUGAAUUUCACCAAUUUUUCAUGUGUCAUGAAUUAUCCUAAUUUUGAUUUUUGUUGUCAACAAAACCUAAAAUAUUUACUCUCUGGCUUUUACAGUUUGCUGACUGCUGGUAUAUAUGAAACAAGAUGGGACAUUAGUUGAUAAUUUUUAAAGAUUGGUAACGGUAUGUACAUGGGGUUUCAUUAUAUUAGUUUACUUUUGUAUAUGCUUGACAUUUUUCAUAAUAAAACGUUUGAAAAAUG